rnacentral:rRNA from 1 species
GUGUCAGCAGCCGCGGUAAGACGUAGGGGGCGAGCGUUGUCCGGAAUUACUGGGCGUAAAGAGCACGUAGGCGGGUAUUUAAGUCAGGUGUGAAAGACCGCGGCCCAACUGCGGGGUUGCACUUGAAACUGAAUAUCUUGAGGGCAGGAGAGGUCAGUGGAAUUCCUGGUGUAGCGGUGAAAUGCGUAGAUAUCAGGAGGAACACCAGUGGCGAAGGCGACUGACUGGACUGACCCUGACGCUGAGGUGUGAAAGCGUGGGUAGCAAACAGGAUUAGAUACCCUGGUAGUCCACGCCGUAAACGAUGGAUACUAGGUGUGGGAGGUAUCGACCCCUUCCGUGCCGGAGCUAACGCAAUAAGUAUCCCGCCUGGGGAGCACGGCCGCAAGGUUGAAACUUAAAUGAAUUGACGG